UACGUAGGGUGCAAGCGUUGUCCGGAUUUAUUUGGGCGUAAAGAGCUCGUAGGCGGUCUGUCGCGUCGGAUGUGAAAACCCAGGGCUCAACCCUGGGCCUGCAUUCGAUACGGGCAGACUAGAGUAUGGCAGGGGAGACUGGAAUUCCUGGUGUAGCGGUGAAAUGCGCAGAUAUCAGGAGGAACACCGGUGGCGAAGGCGGGUCUCUGGGCCAAAACUGACGCUGAGGAGCGAAAGCGUGGGGAGCGAACAGG
rnacentral:rRNA from 1 species